GCAAAAUCCCAGAAUUCACCCAAAGUCUUGGUCCUGAAGCUUUUGCACCCUGACCUCACUGGACCUAGGGAUACCCCCUUGACUAAGGGCCUCAGUGUGGGAGCACGGAGGGAGCUGCCAGCUGAUGGGGGAAACCCACAAGGACAUGGAGUUCCCCUUGGUUGAGGAGGAGGAAGAUGGGUUAACCAUGGUGCUUCUUGACCUUUAAGGAUUGGGCUCAAAUUUAUAGUUCUUUGGAGACUGUCAGAAGCCUGGGUUACCUUGAAGACUCUGAGUGGAGCCAGAAGCUCAUAAAGGAUGUAUGGGGGCCUCUUAUUAGUGACUCUAGAUAACUAGAGGGGGGAAAAUAGCUAAGAAGACAAACACAGCGCAUGAGUGAUCUUUGGGCUCAGAAAGUCUGUGCUGGAUCCCUGCUCGACCACUCCUUAGCUGUGUGAGCAUAGUCCAGUAGCCCUCACCAGGACACCAACACCACACUUUUUGGACCCUUUAGUCACCAGAAUCAAGAGCCAAAUAAACUUCCUUUACUCA